rnacentral:lncRNA from 10 species
AUCCUGUAUAUGGGAACUGAUUUUGGCCCAGCUCCCUCUGCCCACUCCGCCAAGCAGAGCGGAUGUCUCAGAUCAAGAGACUCCUCAGUGAGAAGAAGACCUGCCAGUGUCCUCACCGGUUUCAGAAGACAUGUAGCCCCAUUUGAGGCACGAGGCCAGGCAGAUCCCACUUGCAGCCUCCCCAGGUGUCUGCCCCGCGUUUCCUGCCUGCGGACCAGAUGAAUGUAGCAGAUCCCCAGCCUCUGGCCUCCUGUUCGCCUCCUCUACAAUUUGCCAUUGUUUCUCCUGGGUUAGGCCCCGGCUUCACUGGUUGAGUGUUGCUCUCUAGUUUCCAGAGGCUUAAUCACACCGUCCUCCACGCCAUUUCCUUUUCCUUCAAGCCUAGCCCUUCUCUCAUUAUUUCUCUCUGACCCUCUCCCCACUGCUCAUUUGGAUCCCAGGGGAGUGUUCAGGGCCAGCCCUGGCUGGCAUGGAGGGUGAGGCUGGGUGUCUGGAAGCAUGGAGCAUGGGACUGUUCUUUUACAAGACAGGACCCUGGGACCACAGAGGGCAGGAACUUGCACAAAAUCACACAGCCAAGCCAGUCAAGGAUGGAUGCAGAUCCAGAGGUUUCUGGCAGCCAGUACCUCCUGCCCCAUGCUGCCCGCUUCUCACCCUAUGUGGGUGGGACCACAGACUCACAUCCUGACCUUGCACAAACAGCCCCUCUGGACACAGCCCCAUGUACACGGCCUCAAGGGAUGUCUCACAUCCUCUGUCUAUUUGAGACUUAGAAAAAUCCUACAAGGCUGGCAGUGACAGAACUAAGAUGAUCAUCUCCAGUUUAUAGACCAGAACCAGAGCUCAGAGAGGCUAGAUGAUUGAUUACCAAGUGCCGGACUAGCAAGUGCUGGAGUCGGGACUAACCCAGGUCCCUUGUCCCAAGUUCCACUGCUGCCUCUUGAAUGCAGGGACAAAUGCCACACGGCUCUCACCAGUGGCUAGUGGUGGGUACUCAAUGUGUACUUUUGGGUUCACAGAAGCACAGCACCCAUGGGAAGGGUCCAUCUCAGAGAAUUUACGAGCAGGGAUGAAGGCCUCCCUGUCUAAAAUCCCUCCUUCAUCCCCCGCUGGUGGCAGAAUCUGUUACCAGAGGACAAAGCCUUUGGCUCUUCUAAUCAGAGCGCAAGCUGGGAGCACAGGCACUGCAGGAGAGAAUGCCCAGUGACCAGUCACUGACCCUGUGCAGAACCUCCUGGAAGCGAGCUUUGCUGGGAGAGGGGGUAGCUAGCCUGAGAGGGAACCCUCUAAGGGACCUCAAAGGUGAUUGUGCCAGGCUCUGCGCCUGCCCCACACCCUCCCUUACCCUCCUCCAGACCAUUCAGGACACAGGGAAAUCAGGGUUACAAAUCUUCUUGAUCCACUUCUCUCAGGAUCCCCUCUCUUCCUACCCUUCCUCACCACUUCCCUCAGUCCCAACUCCUUUUCCCUAUUUCCUUCUCCUCCUGUCUUUAAAGCCUGCCUCUUCCAGGAAGACCCCCCUAUUGCUGCUGGGGCUCCCCAUUUGCUUACUUUGCAUUUGUGCCCACUCUCCACCCCUGCUCCCCUGAGCUGAAAUAAAAAUACAAUAA